rnacentral:rRNA from 1 species
UACGGAGGAUCCAAGCGUUAUCCGGAUUUAUUGGGUUUAAAGGGUCCGUAGGCGGGUUUUUAAGUCAGUGGUGAAAGCCUACAGCUCAACUGUAGAAUUGCCAUUGAUACUGGAGACCUUGAGUGUAGUAGAAGUAGGCGGAAUAAGGCAUGUAGCGGUGAAAUGCAUAGAUAUGCCUUAGAACACCGAUUGCGAAGGCAGCUUACUAUGUUACAACUGACGCUGAGGGACGAAAGCGUGGGGAGCGAACAGG